GACCUAGUGGCGGAAGGUAUUGCGCCUGCAUAAAUUAAAUAAACGAUGAAGUGCAGCAGGCACUCCUGGUUCGACUCCAGGCUAGGUCG